GUGGGGAAUAUUGGGCAAUGGGCGAAAGCCUGACCCAGCAACGCCGCGUGAAGGAAGAAGGUUUUCGGAUCGUAAACUUCUAUCCUAGGUGAAGAUAAUGACGGUAGCCUAGAAGGAAGCCCCGGCUAACUACGUGCCAGCAGCCGCGGUAAUACGUAGGGGGCAAGCGUUGUCCGGAAUGAUUGGGCGUAAAGGGCGCGUAGGCGGCCUUCUAAGUCCGAUGUGAAAGUCCUGCUUUUAAGGUGGGAAUUGCAUUGGAAACUGGAGGGCUUGAGUGUAGGAGAGGUAAGUGGAAUUCCCGGUGGAGCGGUGAAAUGCGUAGAGAUCGGGAGGAACACCAGUGGCGAAGGCGACUUACUGGACUGUAACUGACGCUGAGGCGCGAAAGUGUGGGGAGCAAACAGGAUUAGAAACCCUUGUAGUCC
rnacentral:rRNA from 1 species